AGGGAAUGUUUGAUUUGGUAGUACAUCAUUAACCUUUGCUGCAUUAUGAGGAUUCCAGUUACCUGCAUGUCUCUGGUGUAGGAGGGAAUUGUGGUCCAGUCCAGCGAGGGACCUGUGCAACUCUGCAUUAAGGAAAUGUUCUGGCAAAAUCACUGCUGACCUCCACACAAGGGAAGAAUUUAACUGAGGAAAUGGCUGAGGCUUUUUCAAGCAGGACCCACACCACCAGGCCGUCCUGGCUGCCCAAUAGCGCCAGCCGGCCCAGAUGGGCCCCUUUCUCCGGUAGCACCCUGGAAAUAAGAGAAGACAGAGAGGUUAGCUCCUGGUAAACCUUGCUCACCCGGUGGUCCUGGUGAACCUGGAUGGCCUCUAUCUCCAGUUGGCCCUGUCUCACCAGAUUUACCCUGAACACAACCAAAGUACACAAUAAAUAUCACAUUGC